UACAGAGGGUGCGAGCGUUAAUCGGAAUUACUGGGCGUAAAGGGCGCGUAGGCGGCUUGGUAUGUCGGGUGUGAAAUCCCCGGGCUCAACCUGGGAACUGCAUCCGAAACUGCCUUGCUCGAGUAUGGGAGAGGGAAGUGGAAUUUCCGGUGUAGCGGUGAAAUGCGUAGAUAUCGGAAGGAACAUCAGUGGCGAAGGCGCUUCCUGGAC
rnacentral:rRNA from 1 species